rnacentral:tRNA from 1 species
GCCUAGUUAGCUUUAGACGGGUAGCGCGUCUGCCUUGUAAGCGCUAGGCUGCGGGUUCGAUUCCCGCGCGGGGCG